rnacentral:rRNA from 1 species
GACGGGGGAUGCAAGUGUUAUCCGGAAUAAUUGGGCGUAAAGCGUCUGUAGGUGGUUUACCAAGUCUGUUGUUAAAAAUCAGGGCUUAACCCUGAUCCGGCAACAGAAACUAGUAGGCUGGAGUACGGUAGGGAGCAGAGGGAAUUCUCGGUGUAGUGGUGAAAUACGUAGAUAUCGAGAAGAACACCAAUAGCGAAAGCACUCUGCUGGGCCGAAACUGACAUUGAGAGACGAAAAGCUAGGGGAGCGAAAGGG